GUGGGCAGAUCACUUGUGCUCAGCUCAGGAGUCUGAGACCAGUCUGGGCAAAACUAGCAAAACACUGUCUCUACAAAAAUUAUCUGGGAAUGGUGGCACACGACUGUAGUCCCAGCUACUCAGGAGGGUGAGGUGGGAGGACUGCUUGAGCCCAGGAGGUCAAGGCUGUAGUGAUCCAUGAUCACGCCACUGCACUCCAGAUGGACAAUAGAGUGGUUUCCUGUCUCAAAAAAAAAAAAAAAAAAAAAAAAAGAAGAAAAAAAAAUGGGUUAGAAAUAGAUAUUCAUUUAUUCAUUAGGAGACUUAGCUAUUCUAGCUGUCUCCAUCUUUCUUAAACCUACUUUAAUCGGUUUUUGCCCCCAUCACUCCACAGAAACUGUUCUCCAGACAAUCUCCACAUUGUUAGACAAAGGGUCAGUUCUUAUUCCUUACUUGACUGUUGGCAGCAUUUGACACAGUUGAUCACUUCCUCCUCCUCAAAACACAUUCUUCACUUGUUUUCCAGAACACACACUCUCCUGGCUUUCAUCCCACCUCACUGGAGGCAGGAUCUUCCUCUUCUCCCAGAUGUCCUCAUAUUGAAGAGCUUCAAGGCCCACAUGACACCUUUCCAGCUCCAAAGAAAAGGAAAAAGGAGCUGAAAGUCCAGGUCACACAACUCAACAAGAUAGUUCCGUGAUUGUAACCUGGACAUGAAAAUCUCACUUCAAAUUGUUCCAAAAGAAGAGCCCAGACAACAGGGCACACACUCAGGAGGUGCAUGGCCGUCGGCUGCCUCCUCCAUGUCCUGAUCCCACCAUUCAGAGGCAGGGUGGUGGCUGGGGCGAAGCCAAAAGCACACCCAGAAUUUCACCUUGGUCUCUCCCAAGUAACUGUUCUCAGUC
rnacentral:lncRNA from 1 species